CACGUAGGGUGCGAGCGUUGUCCGGAAUUAUUGGGCGUAAAGAGCUCGUAGGCGGCCAACUAAGUCGGACGUGAAAUCCCUCGGCUUAACCGGGGAACUGCGUCCGAUACUGGAUGGCUUGAGUUCGGGAGAGGGAUGCGGAAUUCCAGGUGUAGCGGUGAAAUGCGUAGAUAUCUGGAGGAACACCGGUGGCGAAGGCGGCAUCCUGGGACACUUCCUGACACUGAGGCACGAAAGCUAGGGGAGCAAACAGG
rnacentral:rRNA from 1 species